rnacentral:rRNA from 1 species
UGGGGAAUUUUGGACAAUGGGGGCAACCCUGAUCCAGCAAUGCCGCGUGUGUGAAGAAGGCCUUCGGGUUGUAAAGCACUUUUGUCCGGAAAGAAAACGCCGUGGUUAAUACCCGUGGCGGAUGACGGUACCGGAAGAAUAAGCACCGGCUAACUACGUGCCAGCAGCCGCGGUAAUACGUAGGGUGCAAGCGUUAAUCGGAAUUACUGGGCGUAAAGCGUGCGCAGGCGGUCCGCUAAGACAGAUGUGAAAUCCCCGGGCUUAACCUGGGAACUGCAUUUGUGACUGGCGGGCUAGAGUAUGGCAGAGGGGGGUAGAAUUCCACGUGUAGCAGUGAAAUGCGUAGAGAUGUGGAGGAAUACCGAUGGCGAAGGCAGCCCCCUGGGCCAAUACUGACGCUCAUGCACGAAAGCGUGGGGGAGCAAACAGGAUUCAGAUACCCUGGUAGUCCACGCCCUAAACGAUGUCAACUAGUUGUCGGUCUUCAUUGACUUGGUAACGUAGCUAACGCGUGAAGUUGACCGCCUGGGGAGUACGGUC